rnacentral:rRNA from 1 species
CCUACGGGUGGCAGCAGUGGGGAAUAUUGCACAAUGGGGGAAACCCUGAUGCAGCGACGCCGCGUGAGUGAGGAAGUAAUUCGUUAUGUAAAGCUCUAUCAGCAGGGAAGAAAAUGACGGUACCUGAGUCAGAAGCCCUGGCUAACUACGUGCCAGACGCCGCGGUAAUACGUAGGGGGCAAGCGUUAUCCGGAUGUACUGGGUGUAAAGGGAGCGUAGACGGCAGUGCAAGUCUGGAGGGAAAGGCGGGGGCUCAAACCUCGGACUGCACUGGAAACUGUACGGCUGGAGUGCAGGAGGGGUAAGUGGAAGUCCGAGUGUAGCGGUGAAAUGCGUAGAUAUUAGGAGGAACACCAGUGGCGAAGGCGGCUUACUGAACUGUAACUGACGUUGAGGCUCGAAAGCGUGGGGAGCAAACAGGAUUAGAUACCCCUGUAGUC